rnacentral:lncRNA from 1 species
AACAGCUGGGGAUACUGAGUUCUAAAGUCUGAUUCUAGCUCCCAUGUAGCCUCCAUCGGUGUGUGGUUCUGCCAUACAACCUUUACAAAGGGAAUUUUCCAAUUGCGGAGUAAUCUGCUCUUUCAAUCCACAAUGCCGACUGGUACUUCCUCAUAGGAUAAAUCCUCAUAGAGUGGAAGAGGCUCGUGGGCCAAGAAAUGAUAGGGAUCCAGGUUGUACUUGCGUAGCAUGGAUACAUGAAACACAUUGUGAACCUUAGAAAGUUCUGG